AUUGUGUGCAAUUUUAAGUCAUAUUUAUCAACUAAGGGAGCAGGUGCAGGUCUCGUGAAUUCUCUUACAAGUCUCUUUACAUGACUCUUUGACAUAGAAACAGAAUAAUUCAUACGGCAACUGAACACGAAAACCUCUUCACUUAAGAUGACAGAUUCAACGGUGAACAUACCUACUUCUGCUCAGCUUUCUGUGGAUCCCUCUGACGUAGGUAGCCUUUACCCGUACAUACACCAAAUGUGAUUGUCACACCAGAGUUAUUUUCUACCUGGAGUCGACCAGUGAACAUCUCCGACAGUAAUGUAUAGGAAAUGAGAAAUAAAUAAAAUCACGUUUUGAAACAUCAUGCAUUGCUCAAAAUUACAAAAUAUAUAUGUAUUGUAUGUUAGUGAAACAUUACGAAAGUUUAGAUAAUUUAAAC